rnacentral:rRNA from 1 species
GAUGAACGCUGGCGGCGUGCCUAAUACAUGCAAGUCGAGCGAACAGACGAGGAGCUUGCUCCUCUGACGUUAGCGGCGGACGGGUGAGUAACACGUGGAUAACCUACCUAUAAGACUGGGAUAACUUCGGGAAACCGGAGCUAAUACCGGAUAAUAUAUUGAUCCGCAUGGUUCAAUAGUGAAAGACGGUUUUGCUGUCACUUAUAGAUGGAUCCGCGCCGCAUUAGCUAGUUGGUAAGGUAACGGCUUACCAAGGCAACGAUGCGUAGCCGACCUGAGAGGGUGAUCGGCCACACUGGAACUGAGACACGGUCCAGACUCCUACGGGAGGCAGCAGUAGGGAAUCUUCCGCAAUGGGCGAAAGCCUGACGGAGCAACGCCGCGUGAGUGAUGAAGGUCUUCGGAUCGUAAAACUCUGUUAUUAGGGAAGAACAAAUGUGUAAGUAACUAUGCACGUCUUGACGGUACCUAAUCAGAAAGCCACGGCUAUCUACGUG